CUCUCUCUUAGGGGUGGGCAGAGCUGUAGAGUGCCUAAUGCUGCAGCCGAACGGCCUGAUUUAUAGGCAGUGGCGGACGGGUGAGUAACGCGUAAGAACUUACCCUAAAGUGGGGGACAACCUCGAGAAAUCGGGGCUAAUACCGCAUACGCUCCGCAAGGAGGAAAGCUACGGCGCUUUAGGAUGGGCUUGCGUCCGAUUAGCUAGUUGGUGAGGUAAUGGCUCACCAAGGCUUAGAUCGGUAGCUGGUCUGAGAGGAUGAUCAGCCACACUGGAAUUGAGAUACGGUCCAGACUCCUACGGGAGGCAGCAGCAGGGAAUAUUGCGCAAUGGGUGAAAGCCUGACGCAGCAACGCCGCGUGGGGGAUGACGGCUUUCGAGUUGUAAACCCCUUUUCUUGGGGAAGAUAAUGACGGUACCCGAGGAAUAAGUCUCGGCUAACUACGUGCCAGCAGCCGCGGUAAGACGUAGGAGGCGAGCGUUAUCCGGAUUUACUGGGCGUAAAGGGCGUGUAGGCGGUUCUCCAAGUCUCUGGUGAAAUCUCCCGGCUUAACUGGGAGGCUGCCAGAGAAACUAGGGAACUUGAGGACAGAAUAGGGGAGUGGAAUUCCCGGUGUAGUGGUGAUAUGCGUAGAGAUCGGGAGGAACACCAGUGGCGAAAGCGGCUCCCUGGUCUGCACCUGACGCUGAGGCGCGAAAGCGUGGGGAGCAAACAGGAUUAGAUACCCUGGUAGUCCACGCUGUAAACGAUGGAUACUAGGUAUGGGGGGUAUCGACCCCUUCCGUGCCGAAGCUAACGCUAUAAGUAUCCCGCCUGGGGACUACGGCCGCAAGGCUA
rnacentral:rRNA from 1 species